CUCAAUGAAAAUUCAAUAGCCGCAAUAUUUUGUGCUAAGGUAGCAUAAUCAUUUGUUUUUUAAUUAAAAACUAGAAUGAAAGAUUUAACAAUUAUAUUUCUUUCUCACAUAUAAAAAUUUAAUUUAUUUUAAUUAUUAAAAAAUAAUUAUAUAUAAAAAAGACGACAAGACCCUAUUGAACUUAACUAAAGUUUAACUGGGGUAGUUAAUUAAAUACAAUUUUAAUUCAAAUUUAAAAUCAUUCUAAUACAAUUAAAUAAUCAAGUUACCAUAGGGAUAACAGCGUAAUAAUUUCUUCAAGACCUUAUUUAAAAAAUUGUUUACGACCUCGAUGUUGAAUUAAUAAUCUAUUAAAUGAAACAAUUUAAAAAUGAAAGUCUGUUCGACUU
rnacentral:rRNA from 1 species